rnacentral:rRNA from 1 species
CCUACGGGGGGCAGCAGUGAGGAAUAUUGGUCAAUGGACGAGAGUCUGAACCAGCCAAGUAGCGUGAAGGAUGACUGCCCUAUGGGUUGUAAACUUCUUUUAUAUGGGAAUAAAAUGUUCCACGUGUGGGAUUUUGUAUGUACCAUAUGAAUAAGGAUCGGCUAACUCCGUGCCAGCAGCCGCGGUAAUACGGAGGAUACGAGCGUUAUCCGGAUUUAUUGGGUUUAAAGGGAGCGUAGGUGGAUUGUUAAGUCAGUUGUGAAAGUUUGCGGCUCAACCGUAAAAUUGCAGUUGAAACUGGCAGUCUUGAGUACAGUAGAGGUGGGCGGAAUUCGUGGUGUAGCGGUGAAAUGCUUAGAUAUCACGAAGAACUCCGAUUGCGAAGGCAGUUCACUGGACUGCAACUGACACUGAGGCUCGAAAGUGUGGGUAUCAAACAGGAUUAGAUACCCUAGUAGUC